CUGUUGCUGCUGGCUUGCUAACUGUCUUUUGCUCUAGCUCUCUCUCUCUCUCUCUCUCUUUCUUUCUCCGUUUCUCCCUCUCUCUGUGAUUCUCUUUUCUUGCCACGAUCAUUGUGCGGCAGUGCGUGUAUGUCUGGCAAAAUGUGGAGCAGCCUUCGGGAGGGAUGAGCUGCCGGGCAACUGAGGAGAAGGCCAGAUAAGAGCAACAACAACAAAAAAAAAGGAAAAUCAUUUUGUGAAGAUAGUUUUUCCCCGGAAGUCCCACGCAGAGAGAGGAUUGCAUGCUCACAUUGUGCAAGUGUGUGUCACUCAGUUGGAGGGUGUGCGCGUGACUUCCAAUCUGCGACGUAAAGGUGGAUUUUGCCAUGCAGACCAGCAGGUAACCAGGUACGGCGCACCUCCUCGUGCAUAAUCCUCCUCUGCUUUUUCUCACACACUCCAGGGCUCCAAGCAUAGGGGAGGUUUCAUGUUGAAAAACAAAAGGAAGGACCUUGCUGGGCCAGCCACCUUUUGGAAAAGGCUUGGACUAGAGAUUGAGCCGCAACCUUCUCGGAGCAUCACCGUCCAUCCCUUUAGUGCUACUCCAUGGACAUGGCCCUCCGCCGGGCUGCCAACAUGGCAAAAAUGGCCAGCACCCGAUGCUUUCAAGGAAAGAGUUCAAGGAAAAGUCCUCUCAGCAAUGUCACCUUCCAUGAAUUUGCUUGGAACAGGACCAAAGUCCCCAGUGGAGAUUGCUAAUCCGUCCGUCCAAAUGAUUUGGUGAAACGUCUUACGAAUCCCUGGUGUGUUAUUUAUUCAGCGCCAGGGAGCAGUGCCUGAUCCCUUGCGGUUAAACGGAAGACCAACGAAAAGUCUGGCUUGAAAAAAUCCUCUUCAAAUGCAGGACAGACUUGAAUGAGAAGAUGGUCAGGACAAACGAUUCCCUUGACUUUUCUGGCAAACAUGCCAAUCGUCGAAUUGCCAAUCGGCAGAUGCGAUCUGACGUUGGGCCUGCUUCGACUUUUCAAAACGUGCCGUCUAAUCGCAUCCAUUUCAAUCAAGUGAUGUCAAAUGCUGUAUGCCGGCUAUUUGAAAGGCUAGAACUAAAGUCAACAUGCGCAUCUGAAUAGCAUCCAAUUUUGUUUCUAUGAACGGCUGCUUGCGGUGAACGUGUGCCAUGAAAAAUGGAUGACCUGGACCUUCUGAGAGUAAAACGAGACAGAAACCUAAUGUGGAACAGGGGGAGGGUGCGUGUCCUUCAAGUAACACCUUGAUUUAGAAUUAGCAACGAGAGAAACAGAAAAGAUUGCAACCCUUUGCUCAAGUUGAGCAGGGAAACAAAAUGCCAUUCGACACAUUGUGCAAAAUCUCUCGUGGGCUUGUUGUUGUUGUUUUCGGGAAAUACGUAGACUAAAUCUCCUUUGAAAUGAAAGUAAGACAUCUUUUCAAGCAAUCUUUUGACACAAUAUGCCCUUGGAUGAAUGUGCUGCUGAGAUGAGCCAUGAAGUGGCGCAAAUAGUGGAGAGUAUGAUUGCCAAUGAAAUAUAGAAAAAUAAAUAUACAAAUUUUAAAUACAAGUGAGGCUGGGUGGGGGUGCAGGGUAACAAGCAGCUUCAAGCUUUGCCUUAAAUUGCUAUUUAUUCACAAUUGUUUUGAAGAACGGAAUUUCUUUUGGGGCGUAGCGUAUCAGCCAUGUGAUGUCACAACAUCCCGCUGGUACCGAAACAGAAUGCUCAUAUUAUUCACGCUCACAGCAUAGAUUCUUCGGCUGGAGCAGUUUUUUUCUGCGCAAGCAAUGAUGAAGUAUUUCUGUCUAAAUUUAGAGACUGCGGGAUAAUUCCAUAUUCCGUGUAUGCCCGAGGCACAUUCCACAUACAACAAGCCACGUGGCUCCGCUGUUGAUGGUUCAACAAGGCAGCCAGGCAGGCAGGCAGGCAGGCAGGGGCAGCCACGCAGGCAGGCAGGCAGGCAGGCAGCUACGCAGGCAGGCAGGCAGGCAGGCAAGCAGGCAGGCAGCUACGCAGGCAGGCAGCUACGCAGGCAGGCAGCUACGCAGGCAGGCAGCCACGCAGGCAGGCAGGCAGGCAAGCACCCUUGCGAGGAGCCAAGGCCACUGGUGCAGAAAGGAGAUGUUUAAUUGGUACCCUUUGAAUGCACAUUGCCUAAUUAAUCCCAAUAGUAUCCUGAAAAGUCCACUGACAUUUUGCACAUUGUCACCAAGGCCACAAUUUCCAUUUUUAUUGUUGUGUUUCAUACGCAGUCAAUUUAGCAUUUGUUUUGACAGCUAGCGGAAAGGACAAGGUACUUUCAACACUCAGAAGGGAAUUCAAUAUGAACUCAUCAGCUGCCCAUCCAUCAAAUUGGAAUGUAAAAGUAAGCGCCAGUGUACACGACAAGAAGAAAUGAAUGUUUUGGCAACAUACGUAUCAUCCAUCUCCGGUCAAUGAUCUAACGCACUGUUUUGCGUCGCUCACACUGCAGUCAUAAUCGCCCGCAUGCAAACUCGCUCAUGUGCAAUAAUUCCAUUAUUCAUGCUGCUGCUAUUAUAUAGGGAGAAGAGGAAAGCAGCAAUCGUCUGAAGGAGAAACAAAAGCACCGCGUCAUGUGUAGGACUCGCAGGUAGAAAGCACGCAAACAAACGGGAGGGACAAACCGUUUCAAUAUUGACAUGAUCCGUUUGGAUGGGCUAAGCUUAGGUGAAAAAUAAUUGCAAGCCAACAAAUGAAUUCAUGUUAGCAGGCCUGUGGGGAGACAUUUAUAGAGAGCAUUUAUAGCCCAGAGAGGAGAUGAUGCACGUGUAGAUAAUGGACCUGGCUGGAGGCCAAGAUAGAAACUUUAGGGGUGCUCGCCACUCACAAUUAACCAGACGGCAGCUCGCAAUUAGUACAUUCAUAAAAUAUCAAACGUUUGACGAUGGCGGACACCAUCAUAUCAAAGCAUCCUCUACAAAGAAAAACAAUAACGGGGCAGAGUAGCGGUUAACAUUCCAUGUUCCGGGUUUGAGCCCAGGCCCUCCCCUGUGGAUAAUAAAACUUGCGGAUCACACGCUAAAAGGCAUGAUUCAUUUAUACAGCCGCCUGCCUGUGUCUUGUCAGAUCAAUGUUGUAUCUGAGCGUAGUCAUUAAAAAUGAAUUGGCUUGGUCCAGUCACGACAAAAUGGUGGGGCGCUAAUGUCAUGAACAAGGAAAGACAUGGAUGGGGCCGCUUUAAAGCGUGGCAACUUGGAAGAAAGGGAAUCAUCACACAAUAAUCUGGUGAGCUCGAGUGUCCCCUUCGCUUCAUCCUUUUCUGCUUUUUUUCCGCACCCUUUUCCGCCUUGCACUGGCGUUUGCGCUCACUCCGAGUGACUCCUGUUUCAGCCUACUGUCACGCUCCAAGCAAGCGCUUUCACCGCGACUCGAAUCCAAUUCCGAAGCAAAUCCCUAAAACGCUGACGUCUCCGAAUUGUAAGGCUCGGUGUUUGCCUUCCACCUUGACUCACUUGAAAUGUACGUGAAAGGAGAAGAGCUUGAGCAAUUCAGUAGACACAUAGUCACCAGCCCGGGCCCCUCAUCAAUUGCUCUCCUUCUUGUGCUUGAGUUGUCGGGGAGUGCAGAAGAACAGUCAAUCCCACCCAGCGGUGGUUGAAGAUCUGAAAAAUGGAAGCGUCGAAAUUAGGAGGACAUUUCUGCAGAACUAUAAUGUAUUAUUCAUUAUUUCAUUGUAUUCAUUUUAGUCUUUGAUUAUGAUGAUGUAGUUCUGUAUAUUUCUUGCUUGUUUGUUUGUUUGUUUGGCCAUUUGACGGAGCAGAGCUAUUGGUGAUGCCCACAAAUCACCUGAGCGCUUGCUCACUGCAGCACCGGACAACCGGCCUGUAAUUAUUCAAGCGAACGCCGGGCCUGGGAGGAACAUUGGCUGACGGCUAAAGGCAGACUGAUAAAUACACAGAGACAGGAGCAGGCUCGCGGAUGGAUAAUAAGCUAGACUGACACAGAUAGUCGCCUGAGUGCAAAGCUUGGACGGACAGAUGGAUGGAUGGAUGGAUGCAUGCAUGCAUGCAUGGAUGAAUAGGCGGGAAGAUAGGUGGACAAAAAGCGAGGCGGUCGGUUCAACUAAGGCAACCGGGGUCAUGAAUGAAUGACAUUGGCUUCCAUUUGUAUGUUCGGUCAGUUCCGGGAGUGAAGAAAAAUGAAUAAAACAACACUCCUCUUCCUCUAUUUGUCCUGGGUUUCAUUAAUUUGAUUGGCAGACAGACCACGUGGGGCAGAUGAGAGUCAAGGCUUGCGGUUGCCCUGGCGACGGCCUGCUCUUUGUUCCAAGCUCCAUUCCUGGCAUCUAUCCGACGCAUCUUAUGCUGCGAUCGAUCAAUACCCCGCCCCGUGGAGACUGUUGAGCGAGCGGAUGUUUGUGCCAUGCCGGGAGUGUGAAAAGGAAAGGUGGGGGUGGGGGGGCGCAAAAGAAGAAGCUGAGUGCUGGACUGACCGGUGAGGUCUUCUUUUUAAUGUCACUCGCAUCCAUAUCAACGUCUGCUUUGUGUCAUCUGCUUACCUUGCCAGGAUUCCACCUUGACACAACUUCUCACAUCUCUGAGUUGUUCUUUUUUUCCUCCCCUCGUCAGUGCAUUCAAAUAUUUCCGCCACUCAUUGGCAAAGAUAGCCAUGAGCAGAAUGUAGAGACUUUUGGUAAGGAGGCAAUUAUUGCCAGGAAUAUUGUUCUGCCAAAUAAAGCAUUUCCAAAAUACCAUGAUGUGAGGAAAUAUUUGCAUGGAUGUUUGCCCAUUCAUUUGCCAUUUUCUGUUGAGCAUCAAGCCAGUGAUGCUUGAAUACAGAGCAUAAGCAUUGCAAUGGCGUGCUCGAAGAUUAUGGAAGCAAAUAUUUGCUGCCACUACAUUGUUGAUUGUCUGCGCCCCGAUCAAUUUGAACAACCUGCAAAAGCAAAAUGGACUCGCACGCGCAGGCAUAAACG